AGCAGUUAAUUUAAAAUACUUUAAUUUAGUUCAGAGAGGGUUGGAGUUUUUCUUGUCUGUCCACAUGGCUUAGUGGAUAAGAAACCUGGCUGGGGUUCCUCAGGUCGUGGGUUCAAACCUUGUCCAGGGUGAGGUCAAUUUUAAAAGUCUAGUGUCUAGAAAGGACAGUGAAAUAGGAAACAAACAGAAUCCUCCUCUGUGUCCACAUGGCUCAGAGGAGAACAAGACUUAUUUAAGAACCUUAUCUAGGAGGCCUCGUUGAAUUUUGAAGUCCAGGAGCCGAAGUACGAAGAUAAACGCGCGCGGAGCUAAUGUCCAAGUGUGGAUGGUAUCUCGUAGCGCAGUGCGGUAGUCUACCGGCACCCAAUGUGGGUACCCCGGUUCGAUACCCACUCGGGACAGGAAGUUUAAAGUGAUGAAAUGAUGAUAAUAAGUAGAGAAUACUACUUGUAACAAGUAGAAAAUUCUUCUCUAGCAAGAAGAAGUACUAUUCAUCACUUCUGAUGAUGAUAAACAAUAAUAAUCAUCAUUACGUGUAAUGAUGAUAAUCUGAUCAUCGCUAAUGCUCUCCAGCAACGAGCUGGUAUCAAACCAGCACCCAUUGGGUGCCAGUAGACUACCGUGCGGCGCCAUUAGAUACCAUCCACACUAGGGCAUGAGAUACGCCCGCUUUUAUCUUCGUACUUUAACUCCUAGAUUUUAAAUUCACCUCACCCUGGAUAAGGGUUCGAACCUUCAACCUCAGGAGUCUGUCUUUUUUCCCCUCUGAGCCAAAGAGACAGGUUAAGGUCUAGGUUUACAAAAGGAUCAGACUCCUUUGUUGUCAAAGCUCUGGAAAACACCCCGAAGGAGGCCUCUGACUGUUGUUCAUGUAUCCUCCACAUAUUAUAGGGCAGUAUUUGGAUCUAGGUACUGAACUUAAACAUUUCAAUGGCACAAAACAAAUGAUUUGGAUUAAAGUGGGUGUUUAAAAUAUAAGGAAAGCGGAAGGAGACCACCAUCAGGGACUAGAAUGUUAGAGGCGAGGCGACUCCCUCCCUCCCUGAACUAAUCUGAAGUAUUUUAAAUUAACUGCUGACUAAUGAUACCUAAACGCUUUUAAGUUAAUGAUUUAAGUGUCUCAUAUCUUCACUUUAAUGGUGACUUAAGUCUCUAAACACUCAGUGAAAAGGUGAAAUAAUAAAUUCAGACUCUAAACUUUAUUACCACUUCAACCAGGAACAAAACUCAACAUCAUAAAGCAGAUAAACUUUCGACCCAAGAGGAAGAGGUUUGGGGGGUGGAGGAGGCGCCCCCCGACUCCAGGAUCCGCCGGCGAUGAGUCCUGAAAGAAAAGAAGAAAAACAAUUCAAUCCAACAACAGACAGAAAUCUGUGCUGAGGAUGUCAAACUGGACUGUGGUGAGAGCUCAGAGAAGCUCUCAGGCUACUUCACCAAUCAACAAGUUGUUUUUUUUUUUACCCUGAUGUCUUUUCAAACAGUAACAUUAAUGAGAGGUGUAAUAAAUUUGUGCUUAAGAUCUGUUUGCACUUAUCAGAGAAGCUGGCAGAUGUCUUUGAAAACCUAUGAAUGAAAGAUUGAACCUCCAGCUGUGUUUGGUCAUUUUUUUCACGCCUCAAUAUGGAAUUUUUAACAUACUUUACUAUGACAUUUUUUUUCAUUAUAAAAUUUGUUUUUUUUAAUACAAAAAUAAGAUUUUUUUAUCCCACUUAAAUAUGAAAUUCUAUUAUACUAUACUAUGUAAUUUUUAUCAAACAUCAUUUGACAUUUAUUAUCAUAAGAAAAUAUGAGUGCCUGGGACUUUUAGCUUGUAGCCCUGAUGUUUUGACUUUUACGUUUUCUUUAAGUCGUGCCUCAUAUAUAGCAUAGGAAGUAA
rnacentral:lncRNA from 1 species